AUUGAACGCUGGCGGCAGGCUUAACACAUGCAAGUCGAACGAGUGGCGGACGGGUGAGUAAUGCUUGGGAAUCUGGCUUAUGGAGGGGGAUAACUACGGGAAACCGUAGCUAAUACCGCGUACCAUAGGAUGAGCCCAAGUGGGAUUAGGUAGUGGGUGAGGUAACGGCUCACCAAGCCGACGAUCCCUAGCUGGUCUGAGAGGAUGACCGGCAACACUGGGACUGAGACACGGCCCAGACUCCUACGGGAGGCAGCAGUGGGGAAUAUUGCGCAAUGGGGGAAAGCUGACGCAGCCAUGCCGCGUGAAUGAAGAAGGCCGUCGGGUUGUAAAGUUCUUUCGGUAGCGAUGCGUUAACUACAGAAGAAGCACCGGCUAACUCCGUGCCAGCAGCCGCGGUAAUAC
rnacentral:rRNA from 1 species